rnacentral:rRNA from 1 species
UACGUAGGGUGCAAGCGUUGUCCGGAAUUAUUGGGCGUAAAGAGCUCGUAGGCGGUCUGUUGCGUCAGCUGUGAAAACCCGAGGCUCAACCUCGGGCCUGCAGCCGAUACGGGCAGACUAGAGUUCGGCAGGGGAGACUGGAAUUCCUGGUGUAGCGGUGGAAUGCGCAGAUAUCAGGAGGAACACCGAUGGCGAAGGCAGGUCACUGGGCCGCAACUGACG